rnacentral:rRNA from 1 species
UGGGGAAUAUUGCACAAUGGGCGCAAGCCUGAUGCAGCCAUGCCGCGUGUAUGAAGAAGGCCUUCGGGUUGUAAAGUACUUUCAGUCGGGAGGAAGGUGGUAAGGUUAAUAACCUUAUCAAUUGACGUUACCGACAGAAGAAGCACCGGCUAACUCCGUGCCAGCAGCCGCGGUAAUACGGAGGGUGCAAGCGUUAAUCGGAAUUACUGGGCGUAAAGCGCACGCAGGCGGUUGAUUGAGUCAGAUGUGAAAUCCCGGGGCUUAACCCGGGAAUUGCAUCUGAUACUGGUCAGCUAGAGUCUUGUAGAGGGGGGUAGAAUUCCAUGUGUAGCGGUGAAAUGCGUAGAGAUGUGGAGGAAUACCGGUGGCGAAGGCGGCCCCCUGGACAAAGACUGACGCUCAGGUGCGAAAGCGUGGGGAGCAAACAGG